rnacentral:rRNA from 1 species
GACGAACGCUGGCGGCGUGCUUAACACAUGCAAGUCGAACGGAAAGGCCCUGCUUUUGUGGGGUGCUCGAGUGGCGAACGGGUGAGUAACACGUGAGUAACCUGCCCUUGACUUUGGGAUAACUUCAGGAAACUGGGGCUAAUACCCGAUAGGAGCUCCUGCUGCAUGGUGGGGGUUGGAAAGUUUCGGCGGUUGGGGAUGGACUCGCGGCUUAUCAGCUUGUUGGUGGGGUAGUGGCUUACCAAGGCUUUGACGGGUAGCCGGCCUGAGAGGGUGACCGGCCACAAUAGGACUGAGGUACGGCGCAGACGCCUACGGGAGGCAGCAGUGGGAAGUAUUGCACAAUGGGCGGGAGCCUGAUACAGCAACGCCGCGUGCGGGAUGCCGGCCUUCGGGUUGUAAACCGCUUUCGCCUGUGACGAGGCGUGAGUGACGGUACUGUGUAAAGAAGCACCGGCUAACUACGUG